CGACGCGUUGGCCAAUUGAUUGAUGGUGCUUGCACCUGAUUGAUUUUGGUCGCCAACGAGUGGCGGACGGGUGAGUAACACGUAGGUAACCUGCCCAGAAGCGGGGGACAACAUUUGGAAACAGAUGCUAAUACCGCAUAACAACGUUGUUCGCAUGAACAACGCUUAAAAGAUGGCUUCUCGCUAUCACUUCUGGAUGGACCUGCGGUGCAUUAGCUUGUUGGUGGGGUAACGGCCUACCAAGGCGAUGAUGCAUAGCCGAGUUGAGAGACUGAUCGGCCACAAUGGGACUGAGACACGGCCCAUACUCCUACGGGAGGCAGCAGUAGGGAAUCUUCCACAAUGGGCGCAAGCCUGAUGGAGCAACACCGCGUGAGUGAAGAAGGGCUUCGGCUCGUAAAGCUCUGUUGUUAAAGAAGAACACGUAUGAGAGUAACUGUUCAUACGUUGACGGUAUUUAACCAGAAAGUCACGGCUAACUACGUGCCAGCAGCCGCGGUAAUACGUAGGUGGCAAGCGUUAUCCGGAUUUAUUGGGCGUAAAGAGAGUGCAGGCGGUUUUCUAAGUCUGAUGUGAAAGCCUUCGGCUUAACCGGAGAAGUGCAUCGGAAACUGGAUAACUUGAGUGCGGAAGAGGGUAGUGGAACUCCAUGUGUAGCGGUGGAAUGCGUAGAUAUAUGGAAGAACACCAGUGGCGAAGGCGGCUACCUGGUCUGCAACUGACGCUGAGACUCGAAAGCAUGGGUAGCGAACAGGAUUAGAUACCCUGGUAGUCCAUGCCGUAAACGAUGAGUGCUAGGUGUUGGAGGGUUUCCGCCCUUCAGUGCCGGAGCUAACGCAUUAAGCACUCCGCCUGGGGAGUACGA
rnacentral:rRNA from 1 species